GUGAAUCAUCGAAUCUUUGUACGCAAAUUGCGCUUCCUGGCAUCACGGGAAGUAUGCAUGUUUGAGGGUCAGUAUUAAUAAAAAAUCGGUUUAGUUACAAAUUGUGAAGUUUCCGGAGUUUGGGGUAUCUUAACAUUUUUGGUUAAGAGGCUUAAAAUUGACCUUUUUUGCGCAUUGUUAAAAGUACAUAAUUUUUUUUUAUUCGUCUAUCCUUAAUGCCAAAAUCUUAUUAGAUGUGAUCACAUCGUGUGGAUUCGUGUUGAUAACAUUUUCAUGAUUGGACCUCAAAUUAGGUAG
rnacentral:misc_RNA from 1 species